rnacentral:misc_RNA from 1 species
GUUUAAACCAUUUAAAUACAGUUGGUUUGUGGACCGCCGUAGUAAGCAAAAUGUGGCGAAGGGUGUUUGUUGUGUUGCUGCCUAUUUUCGGGCUUUGUUCUGAGGAUUGGAACAGGAUGGCCAAAGAGAUGCUCACAUCUGCUAUCAAGAUGAAACCAAACACCGGAGUGGCAAAAAACGUCAUCCUCUUCAUCGGAGAUGGACUGGGGGUAUCCACGCUCAAUGCUGCAAGGAUAUACCGGGGACAGAAAAACAACAAGACUGGAGAAGAAACUGUGCUAGAGUGGGAAAAGUUUCCUUAUGCCGCCUUCUCCAAAAUAUAUGGUGCGGACAAACAGAUUCCUGACUCGGCGCAAACGGCGACCGCCAUUUUAGGCGGGGUCAAGGUCAAUUACAAAACUGUUGGAGUCACGGACGCUGUCCCGGGUGAAGGCUGUGAUAAACUGUUAGAACUCGGAGAAGCUGGGAAAGUGAUAUCUGUUCUCAGGAAAGCCCUCAGUGAAGGUAAGUCCACUGGAGUGGUCACCUCUACGAGGCUGACUCACGCGACUCCGGCCGCCACCUACGCCCACUCAGCUCACAGGAACUGGGAGUCGGAUGUUGACGUCAUUGAUGAAGCACGCGGGAAGUGUCACGAUAUCGCCUACCAGCUGAUCCACAACAACAGCGAUAUCCAAGUACUUUUAGGUGGGGGGAGGAGAGCCUUCUAUCCAGCCAACUAUUCUGACCCGGAAACAGGAAGAACGGAUGUAAAUAAAAGAAACGAUACCAAUAAUCUUGUGGACGACUGGCUAAAUAUACAGAGAGAAAAGAACAGGAAGCACAAGUUUGUGUGGAAAAAAGACGACUUUGAUAACAUUGACGUAAACAACGUCGACUAUGUCCUAGGACUAUUUAGUCCGUCACACAUGGCGUAUGAAAUAGAGCGCGACAAGACCGGAAAUGGAGAACCUUCAUUAUCGGAAAUGACGUCAAAAGCAAUAAACAUUCUUAAAAGAAACAAAGAUAAAGGAUUUUUCUUACUAGUUGAAGGCGGAUUGAUAGAUAUAGCUCACCAUGACAGCCUCGCUAAGAAAGCACUAGAAGAAACUCUACAGUUUGAGGAGGCUGUGAAAGUAGCUGCAUCAAUGACCAAUCAAGAAGAUACUCUUCUGAUUGUAACUGCAGAUCACUCGCAUCCAUUUUCAUUGGCUGGUUACACUAAGCGCGGAAAUCCUGUUUUGGGCUUGGUUGAUGAAGAAUCUGCCAGAAUUGAACCACCUUUAGACAAGAAACCGUAUACGGCCCUUGUGUAUGGCAAUGGUCCUGGAUAUAAAGCCGAUAGAGAAAAUUUGACGGGCGUAGACACUGUCGGCUGUUCCUUUAGAAUACGAAACGCACAGCGCGGAGGAUGUCGGGAUAUUUUCCCAGGGUCCCAUGUCGCACCUGUUUCAUGGCGUCCACGAACAACACUACAUAGCGCACGUGAUCCAGUAUGCGGCCUGUAUCGGGGACUACCGAGAGAACUGUGACAGAGAGGAGAGAAGCACCAGCGGCUCUACAGUCCCGGAAGUACUACGCUGGCUUCUACUCGCAUCGUUCUUGGCUUCCAGAAUAGAGACUUAAAAUCUGCUUAGAAAACGAUAUAAAAACCAAGUGUCUUUAUUUCGAUGGGCAGAAAAGACACUGUUCUUUAUAAUUUGUUAGAUAUUAAACACAUGUAAAUUUAUGAACAAUUUAUGCACAGUAAAUCAGUACGGUCUAUGUAAACCUUUAAACUUUACUAUAAUCUUAGUUUACUUUGUGUUUUUAAUAGGAAUGAUCUGAUUCGAUAAAACUAACCAAUGGGAAUAACGGCCAAUGAGAGAGUAAAGGAAAUUGUUCACCAACCUCAUCCAUAUGCGCACAAGAACUAGCGUAACUUAACUCUUAAGUAGAUAUAGUAACUAUAUGCAUUUGAAAAAAAAAACAAAUUGUGUUGUAUAAACAUUUAAUAAUAAUGACUGUUUAAUUACAAAUUUUCCAACAUUAAGACACUGAAGAAAUUAAAAGAAAGUAACUUGAAGGUAACUGACCACCUCAAACGUAACAUGUAGUUAUUAAAAUGUAAAGAUGAACAAAAAUCGAAUUGUUUAUCACCUGAACACGUGCAAUAUUAUUUUUUAUUGCUUCAUAUACAAUUUUCACCACUUUUAUGCAUAUUGUUACUUACAUUUUAACUUUUCUUUUCUUAGGACAAAUGUGCAUACGUCACGUUAUUUUCAUAAAAUCAUCAUGUUGUUUUAAUAACAGACAUGUCUUCCUUCAAUGGCAAACCUACGUCUAUUCUACAUCGUAAACAUAUGUAUACAUACGUUUUUAUUUUUAUGUUAUUCAAUAAAAAUUGAUAAU